UGUGGCUGGAGCUCAAAGAGCUUGGGGGAGAGUGUCACACAGCAAAGUCAAAGAGAUGGGCAGGGUCAGCCCAUGUAGUGCCAUAGAAACACUUGGAAAGGAGUCUGUGCCUCUUAAAGAUCAUUCUGGCUACUAUGUGGAGAAUGGGUAUAUAAUAGUAAAUUAUGGGAAAAGUGCUCUUCCAUUUUAAAAAAGUGAUAAAGAGAAAAGCAAUCGUAUUUUGAGAAGAGAGACCCAAAUAAUGGAAACAUUUAACUGUGACUGAGGACUGGGAAGGAGAAGAAAACAGUUUGGCCUUUAAAAUGAGGUUCAGCUUUGUGGUUAGAGUUUCCUUGUUUGGCCAGCUCCACUGGUGCGGGACAGGGCUUCUUCCAAUGUGUUUUCUUGGCCUUCUCUUUCAGAAUAAACAAACAUGGUGUCUCCAAACUAUUCAAAGGGUCCCAGGUAUUCAGGGUGGCCCGAUCCAGACCACAGAAGCUUUCUCACAGGUCACAGCUUGGGCCCUGUUGCUAUAAACACAAGAUACAGGAGGCCCGAGCACGUCUGAACACCUCCCAGAGCUGUUUUCUAUGCCAUCCCAAGUCCUCAUGGACAAAUGAGGCUUAACCAUGGAGAAUAGAGCUUCAUGGGUAGGGCUAGCACCUCUGAUCUCAGAAACACUGGAAAAUGAGCAUGGUCAAGGCUGUUGGGAGCCCCACGAAUCACUGCUUGAGGGGGCUUGACAUGGGAUGGCUGGCAGUGCAGACAGGAGAUGAUAGUCGAGAGCCAACAGAGGAGUCUGUUGGACCCUCCAGCUGGCAGCAAAAAUGCCAACCCAAACCCCCAAGUCCAUUCAUAAAAUGGCUGCGAAGACAUUAAUCCUGAUUUUUAAAAAGAGAAAGACUUCAGCCUGAGCUGAGGGAAGCCGAUUCCUCCUCCUUUGCGGUUACGGGAUAGCUGCAAAAAAUUGUGAGAUUAUUCAAAAUUUGAUAGGCUGUGAGCAUAAAAAGAAAAAAGUCUCAAAUGCAUAACAACAAUUUUUAAAAGUAACAUCUACUCCUAAUAGCAAUGUUUUAUAUAAGAAUAGUAGGAUACCUUGUGUAAUGGGGGUGCCAAAAUCUCAGAAAUCACCAUGAGAUAACUUUUCCAUGCAACCAGAGCACCAAAAAAAGAAUAGAAGGAUAGUUCCAUAAUAUAACCAAAAAGCUUCCACAUGCACAUCAAAUGACUGCUGGCAUCACGCUCAAAGGGAAGACACUCAUGAGCAUUCCUGUGGCAUCAGAGGAAAGACAAAGGUGACUGGCAUUAGCUGCUUUUGUAUUAUCUUCUGGAAGUGCUAUCAAAGUCACUAAGAGAAUGAAAUAAGAAAUAUAAAUAUUAGGAAAAGAAACAAGAUCAUCAAUUUUUGCACAUUUUAUAAUCUUCUACCUAACGAAGAAAAAAACAAGAAAAUAAAUUUAAAAUCUGUUAGAGGCCAGGCGCGGUUGCUCACGCCCGUGAUCCCAGCACUUUGGGAGGCCAAGGCAGGCAAAUCACCUGAGGUCAGGAGUUCAAGACCAGCCUGGCCAACAUGGCGAAACCUCUACUAAAAAUACAAAAAUUAGCCGGGCCUGGUGGCAGGCACCUGUAAUCCCAGCUACUUGAGAGGCUGAGGCAGGAGAAUCGCUUGAGCCCAGGAGGCAGAGGUUGCAGUGAGCCAAGAUCACACCACUGCACUCCAGUCUGGGUGACAGAGCAAGACUCAGUCUCAAAAAAAAAAAAAAAA
rnacentral:lncRNA from 1 species